UACGGGGGAUGCGAGCGUUGUCCGGAAUCAUUGGGCGUAAGGAGUUCGUAGGUGGUUUGUUAAGUUAGGUGUUAAAAGCAGGGGCUCAACUUCUGUAUGGCACUUGAUACUGGCAGACUUGAAUGCUGUAGAGGUAAAGGGAAUUCCUGGUGUAGCGGUGAAAUGCGUAGAUAUCAGGAGGAACAUCGGAGGCGAAAGCGCUUUACUGGGCAGUAAUUGACACUGAGGAACGAAAGCCGGGGUAGCAAAU
rnacentral:rRNA from 1 species